rnacentral:rRNA from 1 species
AAGCAUAUAAGUAGGUGGAGGAAAAGAAACCGAAUGGGAAUCUCUUAGUAAUGGCGAAUGAAAGGAGAUGUGCUUAGUGUCAAAAUCAGAUCUGUCUGACUUGUAGGCUGUAGGGGCUUUGCCAACUUGGGUGCAGGUGCAAGUCUCUUGGAAAGGAGCACCAGUGAGGGUCAAGGUCCCCGUCUGGCAUCUGUCAUCCCUUGUAGACGGUCUGCCCAUUGAGAGUCGUGUUCUUCUGGAGUAGAGCGCCAAUUGGGUGGUACUCUUUGCCCAAGGAGGAUUACGUGCUUGAGACCAAUAGUGAACAAGUACCAUGAGGGAAGGGUGAAAAGGACUUUGGAAAGAGGGUUAAGAGGGCAUGAAGCUGCUGGAAGGGAAGUGGAUUGGACUUUUACAUUGCAGCAAGAUUGCAGGCUGUGAUUCUUCACUUGUGGAGCAUCGCGUCUUGUGUCUCUUGCCGCUCGGUUGGGUUUUGCGUUGCGCGCCCAGAAUCUAAGCUUUGACUGGCAGAAGGAUUGCGAUCUGGACCAUGUCAUUGCCAACUUUUGGCGUAGCAUUCAACCUUGACCAAAAGG